rnacentral:lncRNA from 1 species
GGAAUUUUGAAGAAGAAGCUGUGCCCCCAGUCAUGUUCCCAGAUAAGCCCUCGACAUCUCCGCUAUUAAUUCUGUCUCUUUAGCAUGUUUUCAAACUCCACGAAAGCAGUUUUUCCUUAAGAGUAUUUUUCUUUGGAAUUAAGUCUUUUAUCUUUGUCUUGACUUGUGUAUCAGUCAAUGAUUAGCCGUUUGUUAAUGUUAUCUUUUGUGUACUAAAGCGUGAGAUUGUUUAGAGUAAUUAAAUCAUGGGAUGUCUCCCAUACUCAUCUUACUGCUGAUAUGCUUUUCAUCUAAGUGAUAAAAGCUAGACAGACAUUAAUCCACAUCAAAUUGUCUCAUGAUAACUUGAAAAAUUAUGAGAGAAUGUUAUCUAAUCAUGAAAAUAAGUUAAAUUCUUCCUUUUCUAUAGGCAAGAGGGUUUUUUUUUUUCCCCCCUCUAUUUACAAAGCAGACAGAAAAUCAGUGAGAAGGGCCAUUUUUCUAUUCCGUUAUGGGACACAUGAUAUAUUUAUUGUUUUGAAGAUUUGUUUUUUAGAGCCGAUUUGUCAAAAGGACAGCCUGACCCGUGUCUUCUCUGCAUGGCAACUGAAUGCCAAACAAACGUCUCCUUUAUCCCAAAGACAUCGUUCUGUACUAUUUGGGGAGAGGAUGAUGCUUAACUUAGCAGCAGGAACUUACUUGACGGGAGUACCUUCUGAUGGGAAGCUUAUUUCACAGACCUCUGUAGAGAAGAUGUUCUGAGGAACAUUUCAUCUGGGUUGUCAAUACCUUUGUAAUCUAUACCACUGAGAGUCUUGGGGUUGAAUAUUUUGCUUAAGAGGAUCUGGUAUUGUCACCAGGAUUUUCUCACAAGCCAUUGACGCCCCUUCUGUACAUGGAGAUACCCAUGAAGAGAUGAUGACAACUACACCAUGACUGCCACUGGGCCAGCGGCAGUUACGAUGUGCACCCAAUUUCAGAGAUGCAAAAAGGUGAGAAAUACACAUUUUAGAAUCUAUCAAGUAUGGAAAUGUUAUCCCUGGUCAUAAUCUAGGUGCAUUUUUCCAUUUGAAAUAAAAUUGUUUUUCUCCCAUGACCUAGGGGAUUU